rnacentral:tRNA from 1 species
UCCCUGGUGGUCCAGUGGUUAAGACUCCGUCUUCCAAUGCAGGAGGUAUGGGUUCAAUCCCAUGUCAGGGAG